UUAUAUAAUUAAGUCUAACAUUUAAAAGAUAAAAUGUUAGACUAACCAAAAGUCUCUAGAACCUAACAUCUGAUAUAAUAUACAAGAUUCAGUAAACUGAGAAUGACAGAGCUUAACAUCAAACAGGAGCUUUUUACAUGGGUUUCUUGGAAUAAUAAAAUGACAUUUGAUCUUAAGAGAGAUGUUCUUGUAAAAUAAAUGAAAUAAAUGAUUAUUAAAGCAACUGCUAAAGAUGGUGAAAAAUAUGGAGUAGAAUGAGGUUUGACUUGAAAUCGAAGAGUAGGAAUACCGUAAAUCGUCAAUAUUUAAAUCAGCAGCUAUUUUAUGGUUGAUCGUAAAUAACUUUUGAUAAUUUUUAAUUUUCGAAAAAAAUUUCUUGGCAUUAGCCACUGUUACCGGUAAUGUGAGAAGAAUUCUCAAUGCAAUAGAUACAUUCAUGUAGAUUUUACUCAAACCGUUUGCGUACAAAUAUUUUAAAGCAUUUUCAGGAUCUAAAUUUUCAGUAAAAAGAGAAAAAUGAGAUGUUAAUUUAAAACUUAGUUCCAUGCCAGAAAUAUCAUUUUUUCUAUUUUCCGCUAGUUUACUUUCUAACAUGAUGCAAUAAGAUUUUGUUUAUACUUUUCUUUUAAACAUGAUUAUUUUUCCACAUUUUGUUCAGGUUUAUCAAAAAACCCUUGCUUUUUUUUAUUCUUGAAACAGAUUCUGCUUAAAAAUUUUCUUCUGCCUUUAAAAAAGUGGCAAGUUCUUUUGCAAUACAAGUAACAGACUCAAAGUUUUCCUGGUUGUAAUUUUUCUUUAAAAAAAAAAAUUGUUCUUCUCAUUGACUUUAAAGCCUCUGAAAUAUUUGUUGAUUGAAGUUGUUUGCUUGUUAAAUUAAUUUUUAAUAAAACUUUUUCAUUAGCGGUCCUAGCCACAUCUUGCAGUGCUUCAUAAAUUUUUGGCAUUUCAAACUGAAGAGUUUUUACAGAAUUGAUGAGAAAACCUUUUCUAUUUGCCACUUCAAUUUUGUUAAACAAAUAUUGGAAAAAACAAAUACACCAUUUGUUUAGUCUGUAGUAAUGUGGUAGUGGUGCAGUGGUAGAACUCUUCACAAGCAAGAAGUAUCAAUUUUGACCACUGCCUCCCUAGUAAUAUUGCACUCAGUUUGUUUUUUUGUGCAAUGGCCUUGUUCAUCAAGUUUUAUGUUAUAGAGUUGUAACAACAUUCGAAAGAGCACCACUACUUUGACAUUUUUCUUUUUGGAGGAAUUUUCUAGAAAGUUGAAAUGAUGAUAUCAUUCUACCAUAGCACCAUUGUUCUGCAACUUAGACAAUGAACUUGCUGGCUUGUAAGCCAGAUAUUGCCAAGUUUGAAUCCCAAGUGAUUGUUUUUAAAGCCAUCUUCUAAGACUUGUAGGAUAUGGAAUGUCUUAAAUAGGAUGACUGUGAUACCAAACGACAUCAAAGCAGCAAAAAGUUUGGUAACAUCAUCAAAGCAGCAAAAAAUUUGGCAACACCAAAAACCGCUAGUUUGAACCUUAUAAUAUUCUAUAAUUUUUGUUGCAUAUGAAUAUAAUAAUCUAAAAUA